rnacentral:rRNA from 1 species
AACGAACGCUGGCGGCAUGCCUAACACAUGCAAGUCGAACGAGAUCUUCGGGUCUAGUGGCGCACGGGUGCGUAACGCGUGGGAAUCUGCCCUUUGGUUCGGAAUAACAGUUGGAAACGACUGCUAAUACCGGAUGAUGACGAAAGUCCAAAGAUUUAUCGCCAGAGGAUGAGCCCGCGUAGGAUUAGCUAGUUGGUGUGGUAAAGGCGCACCAAGGCGACGAUCCUUAGCUGGUCUGAGAGGAUGAUCAGCCACACUGGGACUGAGACACGGCCCAGACUCCUACGGGAGGCAGCAGUGGGGAAUAUUGGACAAUGGGCGAAAGCCUGAUCCAGCAAUGCCGCGUGAGUGAUGAAGGCCCUAGGGUUGUAAAGCUCUUUUACCCGGGAAGAUAAUGACUGUACCGGGAGAAUAAGCCCCGGCUAACUCCGUGCCAGCCGCCGCCGUAA